UUUUAAAAGUUUGCCAAAAACUCGCGUUUACGCAUAACGCAAACUACAUGUUAACUACACUCAAGUACAUACGGUCAACUUUAUUUUAACAAGUCAUAACCACACACAACGCUUAACGCAGUGAUUGCGUGGAGUGCUUCAUUAAGGCAAAAUAAAAAUGAAACAACCCGUAUGCUGGACAUUUGUUGAAGUAUGCAUACAUGUGUGCCUAAUACAGAAAAUGAUAGCGUUCUGCUCGGUAACAAGAGAUUAAAGUUCUCUACCUGGUGACAAGACAAGACUGGUGAAACUGCGCUUAUAACGAAAAGAAAUAUAUAUAUAUAUGAAAAACAGCGAACACAUAAGUAAAGGGUUAACAAAACGUAUUUGUAAACAAGGCCAUGCUAACGCAAUGCGAGCAUAUAUAAUUUAAUAAGUUAGAAAAGAUUAAGCUAUGAUUUCAGUAAGGGAGCAAACCGCUUUUUUACAACCAAAUGGAAACGGUGAAAAAUUUAACUGUAAACGCGUACGAUGCAAUAAGUAUUCACACAAUGAUAAUGCGAUUUUGGAAAAGUUGUCAUAGAACCUAAAUGAAUUGAAUUUUAAAGAUUAUUAAAUCUAUGUAAAUGGUA